UACAGAGGUCUCAAGCGUUGUUCGGAUUCAUUGGGCGUAAAGGGUGCGUAGGCGGCGCGGUAAGUCGGGUGUGAAAUCUCGGAGCUUAACUCCGAAACUGCAUUCGAUACUGCCGUGCUUGAGGACUGGAGAGGAGACUGGAAUUUACGGUGUAGCGGUGAAAUGCGUAGAUAUCGGGAGGAACACCAAUUGCGAAGGCAGCUUGCUGGGACGGUACUGACGCUGAGGCGCGAAAGCGUGGGGAGCAAACAGG
rnacentral:rRNA from 1 species